GAACCCCGGCGAGGGGAGUGAAAAAGAACCUGAAACCGUGUACGUACAAGCAGUGGGAGCCUCUUUUAUGGGGUGACUGCGUACCUUUUGUAUAAUGGGUCAGCGACUUAUAUUCUGUAGCAAGGUUAACCGAAUAGGGGAGCCGAAGGGAAACCGAGUCUUAACUGGGCGUUAAGUUGCAGGGUAUAGACCCGAAACCCGGUGAUCUAGCCAUGGGCAGGUUGAAGGUUGGGUAACACUAACUGGAGGACCGAACCGACUAAUGUUGAAAAAUUAGCGGAUGACUUGUGGCUGGGGGUGAAAGGCCAAUCAAACCGGGAGAUAGCUGGUUCUCCCCGAAAGCUAUUUAGGUAGCGCCUCGUGAAUUCAUCUCCGGGGGUAGAGCACUGUUUCGGCAAGGGGGUCAUCCCGACUUACCAACCCGAUGCAAACUGCGAAUACCGGAGAAUGUUAUCACGGGAGACACACGGCGGGUGCUAACGUCCGUCGUGAAGAGGGAAACAACCCAGACCGCCAGCUAAGGUCCCAAAGUCAUGGUUAAGUGGGAAACGAUGUGGGAAGGCCCAGACAGCCAGGAUGUUGGCUUAGAAGCAGCCAUCAUUUAAAGAAAGCGUAAUAGCUCACUGGUCGAGUCGGCCUGCGCGGAAGAUGUAACGGGGCUAAACCAUGCACCGAAGCUGCGGCAGCGACACUGUGUGUUGUUGGGUAGGGGAGCGUUCUGUAAGCCUGUGAAGGUGUACUGUGAGGUAUGCUG
rnacentral:rRNA from 1 species